GGAAGUUUCGUCAGUUGGACAGGAUGUUUGUGUUUCAAAGUGCAUCCUGUGUCUGCCUCUAAAAAAACACAUUUGUCAACAAGUGCAUGACAAUGUCAAGGGGCAGAGGGAAUAAAAUACAUGACUGCACUUAAAUUGCGAAUGGAGGAUGUUUUCCCAUGUUUCAUUUUGAUGCCAGCCAGUAUGGCCACCUCAGCCCUUUCUUGCUGGGCUGCUCGGUGAAUCAAUGCUCCAAGACAGGCAAAGCCCCAGUAGCCUGUGGAGAGACUUAACUUAACGACACCUGGAUGACACCAUAUCCAUGAUGGAACCUCCUCAGAGGGCCAGGGUGUAUGGCCCAAUAAUCUUGCCUUCCUGCUGAAGUGUGCAUUCAUUCACUACUUCCCACAAAUCGAAAAGCAUUGGAUUGUUGUUUGCCUGGGAUAUUGGGAGUUUCCAUAUUUAUAGUGAUAAUUCCAAAGAAGCCGUUGUUUGUUGGAUAUGUUGGCACGAUGUUGUUAGGCCCGAGACCAAAUCGAGGACUGGCAAACCAUGCCAAUUUAUCCAACAAACACCAGCUUCGAGGGCAUUAUCACUUGUACACGGGUUACCAACAUAUUCAAAUAAUGAUCGACAUUUUCAUUAAAAACGUUAUUUUUAUACA